rnacentral:rRNA from 1 species
UACGUAGGGUGCGAGCGUUGUCCGGAAUUAUUGGGCGGAAAGAGCUCGUAGGCGGUGUGUCGCGUCGGCCGUGAAAACCUGGGGCUCAACUCUGGGCGUGCGGUCGAUACGGGCAUCACUUGAGUUCGGCAGGGGAGACUGGAAUUCCUGGUGUAGCGGUGAAAUGCGCAGAUAUCAGGAGGAACACCGGUGGCGAAGGCGGGUCUCUGGGCCGAUACUGACGCUGAGGAGCGAAAGCAUGGGUAGCGAACAGG